rnacentral:rRNA from 1 species
AUUGAACGCUGGCGGCAUGCCUUACACAUGCAAGUCGAACGGCAGCACGGGAGCAAUCCUGGUGGCGAGUGGCGAACGGGUGAGUAAUAUAUCGGAACGUGCCCAGUAGUGGGGGAUAACUGCUCGAAAGAGCAGCUAAUACCGCAUACGACCUGAGGGUGAAAGGGGGGGAUCGCAAGACCUCUCGCUGUUGGAGCGGCCGAUAUCAGAUUAGCUAGUUGGUGGGGUAAAGGCCUACCAAGGCAACGAUCUGUAGUUGGUCUGAGAGGACGACCAGCCACACUGGGACUGAGACACGGCCCAGACUCCUACGGGAGGCAGCAGUGGGGAAUUUUGGACAAUGGGCGCAAGCCUGAUCCAGUAAUGCCGCGUGCAGGAAGAAGGCCUUCGGGUUGUAAACUGCUUUUGUCAGGGAAGAAAUCCUCUAGGUUAAUACCCUUGGGGGGAUGACGGUACCUGAAGAAUAAGCACCGGCUAACUACGUGCCAGCCGCCGCAGUAACAC